GACGAACGCUGGCGGCGUGCCUAAUACAUGCAAGUCGAACGCUGAAGGAGGAGCUUGCUUCUCUGGAUGAGUUGCGAACGGGUGAGUAACGCGUAGGUAACCUGCCUGGUAGCGGGGGAUAACUAUUGGAAACGAUAGCUAAUACCGCAUAAGAGUAGAUGUUGCAUGACAUUUGCUUAAAAGGCGCAAUUGCAUCACUACCAGAUGGACCUGCGUUGUAUUAGCUAGUUGGUGGGGUAACGGCUCACCAAGGCGACGAUACAUAGCCGACCUGAGAGGGUGAUCGGCCACACUGGGACUGAGACACGGCCCAGACUCCUACGGGAGGCAGCAGUAGGGAAUCUUCGGCAAUGGACGGAAGUCUGACCGAGCAACGCCGCGUGAGUGAAGAAGGUUUUCGGAUCGUAAAGCUCUGUUGUAAGAGAAGAACGAGUGUGAGAGUGGAAAGUUCACACUGUGACGGUAGCUUACCAGAAAGGGACGGCUAACUACGUG
rnacentral:rRNA from 1 species